AUACGUAGGGGGCGAGCGUUGUCCGGAAUGAUUGGGCGUAAAGGGCGCGUAGGCGGCCCGGUAAGUCUGGAGUGAAAGUCCUGUUUUUAAGAUGGGAAUUGCUUUGGAUACUGUCGGGCUUGAGUGCAGGAGAGGUAAGUGGAAUUCCCAGUGUAGCGGUGAAAUGCGUAGAGAUUGGGAGGAACACCAGUGGCGAAGGCGACUUACUGGGCCGUAACUGACGCUGAGGCGCGAAAGCGUGGGGAGCGAACAGGAUUAGAUACCCUGGUAGUCCACGCGGUAAACGAUGAAUGCUAGGUGUAGGGGGUAUCGACCCCUCCUGUGCCGGAGUGAACACAAUAAGCAUUCCGCCUGGGGAGUACGGCCGCAAGGUUGAAACUCAAAGGAAUUGACGGGG
rnacentral:rRNA from 1 species